GUAGGUGAACCUGCGGAAGGAUCAUUACAAAAUAACAUGUGUGUGUUUCUGCUCUUGAGACUGGAAACAGAAUCGAUGUCAAUUCACACAUUUAAGCCCACUCCCGAAAGGGAGAUGGACACACACUUCGGUGUGUAAAUAUAUACUUUAAAUCAUGACUUAUUCCAAAAUUAAAAUAACCAAAACUUUUAACAAUGGAUCUCUUGGCUCUU
rnacentral:misc_RNA from 1 species